GAACCUUAGUAGGAGUCGAACCUGCGCCUCCGAUAGGGUAAUCGGCGUACUACACGCUAUACUAUAAGAUU